GAUGAACGCUGGCGGCGUGCUUAACACAUGCAAGUCGAGCGGAAAGGCCCAAGCUUGCUUGGGUACUCGAGUGGCGAACGGGUGAGUAACACGUGGGUGAUCUGCCCUGCACUUCGGGAUAAGCCUGGGAAACUGGGUCUAAUACCGGAUAGGACGAUGGUUUGGAUGCCAUUGUGGAAAGUUUUUUCGGUGUGGGAUGAGCUCGCGGCCUAUCAGCUUGUUGGUGGGGUAAUGGCCUACCAAGGCGUCGACGGGUAGCCGGCCUGAGAGGGUGUACGGCCACAUUGGGACUGAGAGACGGCCCAGACUCCGACGGGAGGCAGCAGGGGGGAAUAUUGCACAAUGGGCGCAAGCCUGAUGCAGCGACGCCGCGUGGGGGAUGACGGCCUUCGGGUUGUAAACUCCUUUCGCUAGGGACGAAGCGUUUUUGUGACGGUACCUGGAGAAGAAGCACCGGCUAACUACGUG
rnacentral:rRNA from 1 species